GGAGUCUUGUAUGAAUGGUUGGACAAAAGGAAUACUGUCUUUAUAUUAAAAUUGAAUUUAACUUUUAAGUGAAAAGGCUUAAAUAAUCUAAAGGGACGAUAAGACCCUAUAAAGCUUUAUAUUAUAAUUAUAUUUUAUUGAGUUUAUAAAUAAAUUUUUAAUUUAAUUAUUUAUUGUGUUGGGGAGAUAUAAAUAUAAUUUAUAUUAACUGUAAGAUUAUAAAACAAAUAUUAAUGAAUAUUUGGAGAUCCUUUAUUUAAAGAUUAAAAGAUUAAGUUACUUUAGGGAUAACAGCGUUAUUUUUUUUAAGAGUUCAUAUCGAC
rnacentral:rRNA from 1 species